GUUACUACUAGUGUUUUGUGUGACUGACAGGGAGUGUCCUGAUGAGUGUUAAUAGUGAUGAGGACAAACAACUGUUGGAACUGGACCACCGCUCAUGGGAGGGUGAGGGGAAGAGGGGUAACAAUGGAGUGGAGGAUGAGGAAAGGAGGCUAGUGGAGGAAGAUGAGUCGAAAAGUAAUGGAAGAGCUGGAGAUGUAAAAGGUCGGCAAGGAGGGGCUGUUCAAGCCCAGACUGUUACGCAACAGCCUCAAGGGUCAACGGUAUGCUGGGAGAGGUUUCUACC
rnacentral:lncRNA from 1 species